GCGUUAGCGUUACUAGCUCUCGCUCGUCUCGUUUCUUUUCUUCGUCCUCGUCGCGCUCGUCUCGUCUCUUUUCUUCGUCGUCGUCGUCCGGUGGGGGUCGGUC
rnacentral:ribozyme from 1 species